CAGGAACGCUGGCGGCAGGCUUAACACAUGCAAGUCGAGCGCCCCGUAAGGGGAGCGGCAGACGGGUGAGUAACGCGUGGGAAUCUACCCAUCUCUACGGAAUAACGCAUGGAAACGUGUGCUAAUACCGUAUACGUCCUUCGGGAGAAAGAUUUAUCGGAGAUGGAUGAGCCCGCGUUGGAUUAGCUAGUUGGUGGGGUAAAGGCCUACCAAGGCGACGAUCCAUAGCUGGUCUGAGAGGAUGAUCAGCCACACUGGGACUGAGACACGGCCCAGACUCCUACGGGAGGCAGCAGUGGGGAAUAUUGGACAAUGGGCGCAAGCCUGAUCCAGCCAUGCCGCGUGAGUGAUGAAGGCCCUAGGGUUGUAAAGCUCUUUCACCGGUGAAGAUAAUGACGGUAACCGGAGAAGAAGCCCCGGCUAACUUCGUGCCAGCCGCCGCCGUAAUAC
rnacentral:rRNA from 1 species